AUGGAGGAGAGGCUAAGGGGCUUUCCCCGGGUUGACACGGCCAAUUUAUGUCCCAGCGAGGGUGAGAGCGACGCCAAGGCUGAGGGCAGAGGAGCACGGCCCCGAGGCCUGCGACGCAGCCAAGAUCUCCACCACCUCGUCGGAGGAGGCCUGCCGUGACAAGAGCAGCCCCGCGGUCAAGGCGUAACUUUUCGCCGCCGAGUGGCCCCGGGACAGCAAGCGGCUGGACAAGGCGUCGCCAGACUCACGCCGCAGCCCCGCCACCAUCUCAUCCAGCACCCAAGGCCUGGGCGCGGAGGAGCGCAGGAGCCCAGGCCGCGAGGGCGCAGCGCCGGCCAAGGUGGAGGAGGCGCGCGCGCUCCCGGGCAAGGAGGCCUUCGCGCCCCUCACGGUGCAGACGGACGCGGCGGCUGCGCUUUUGGCCCAGGGCCCACUGCCCAGCCUCGGCUUCGCCCCGGACCUGGCGGGCCAGCAGUUCUUCAACGGGCAUCUGCUCUUCCUGCACCCUGGCCAGUUUGCCAUGGGAGGCGCCUUCUCCAGCAUGGCGGCCGCCGGCAUGGGGCCCCUCCUGGCCACCGUGUCUGGGGCCUCCACCGGCGUCUCGACCUAAUUCGACAGCCAUGGCCUCUGCCGCCGCAGCACAGGGACAGUCCGGGGCUUCCGCGGCCACCCUGCCCUUCCACCUCCAGCAGCACGUCCUGGCUUCUCAGGGCCUGGCCAUGUCCCCUUUCGGAAGCCUGUUUCCUUACCCUUACAUGUACAUGGCUGCGGCGCCUUCCAGCUCUGUGCACCGCCACCCCUUCCUCAAUCUGAACACUAUGCGCCCGCGGCUGCUCUACAGCCCCUACUCUAUCCCGGUGCCGUCCCGGGCGGCAGCAGCCUGCUCACCACCGCCCUCCCCUCCAUGGCGGCGGCCGCGGGGACCCUGGACGGCAAAGUCGCCGCACUGGCCGCCAGCCCGGCCUCGGUGGCCGUGGACUCAGGCUCUGAACUCAACAGCCGCUCCUCCAAGCUCUCCUCCAGCUCCGUGUCCUUGUCGCCCAAACCCUGCGCGGAGAAAGAGGCGGCCACCAGCGAACUGCAGAGCAACCAGCGGUUGGUCAGUGGCUUGGAAGCCAAGCCGGACAGGUCCCGCAGUGCGUCCCCGUAGAUCCCUCCCAGACACGUCUCUUCAUUCCAGUCCAGUCCAGACUGCCGUCCACUUUGUCGGAUAUAAACCACGGGCCCGCCAUGGCGUUAGCCCUUCCUUUUUCAGUUGCUUCUGGGAAGGAGCCCCGGACUCCCUCGAGAGAAUGUGCUAGAGACAGCCCCUGUCGUCUUGGCCUGGUUUAUGCAUCCGGGAUCUGGAACAGAUUCUGGGGGCUCAGAAACAUCGGUUGCAUUGAGCUAUUGGGGGUGGGAGUUCCAACCUUUAUGUCCAGAGCAAUUUCCAGCAAGGCUGGUCUGGGUCUCUGCCCACCAGGCGGGGAGAUGUUCAAAGACAUCCCCCUCAGUGCGGAUUUAUAUAUUUUUUUCCUUCACUGUGUCAAGUGGAAACAGAAACAAAUAAAAUCUUUCAAAAAAAAUGGGGACAAGUCAAUACAUUAACAUGAUUCUGUUUGUGCAGAUUAAGAACUUUAUAGGGACUUGUAUUAUCAAUAAAUUACUGAGCAGCUUUGUUUGGAGAGGGAAGUCCCUACCAUUUGUUUAGUCUGUAUUAAGGAAAUCUGUGCCCUUUUAAUAUUCUUGUGAUGUUUUCAGAGCCGCUAUAGGUCUCUUCUUGCAUGUUUCACAGUAAUGUAUUUGUGGUUUUUAUUUUGAAUGCUUGCUUUUGUAGUUAACCCUAUACCCUUUGCCCAAUCCUUUGCCCUCAAAUCAGUGACCCAAGGGUGGAGGGCGAUUUAAAGGAAAGGAGUGGGCAAAGCACAUAAAAUGAAUUUAUUUUAUCUAAGCUCUG